rnacentral:rRNA from 1 species
UACGUAGGGGGCAAGCGUUGUCCGGAAUCAUUGGGCGUAAAGGGCUCGUAGGCGGCCAACUAAGUCGGACGUGAAAUCCCCAGGCUCAACCUGGGAACUGCGUCCGAUACUGGAUGGCUUGAAUCCGGGAGAGGGAUGCAGAAUUCCAGGUGUAGCGGUGAAAUGCUUAGAUAUGACACAGAACACCAAUUGCGAAGGCAGCUCGCUAAGCCAUAACUGACGCUGAUGCACGAAAGCGUGGGGAGCAAACAGG